rnacentral:lncRNA from 1 species
GGAAGAGUUAUCGGAAAAAGCUCCAGUCUGCCAACAGUGAACUGGAAAAGAAGCUUGAUGGUAAGUCUGCCAGCAGUGAAUUGGAAAAGAAGCUUGAUGAUGUACAGGAUUCUGCCAACAGAGAAUUGGAAAAGAAGCUUGAUGAUGUACAGGAGUCUUCCAGCAAUGAAUUGGAAAAGAAGCUUGAUGAUGUACAGGAGUCUGCCGGCAGCAAUGAAUUGGAAAAGAAGCUUGAUGAUGUACAGGAGUCUGCCGGCAGUGAAUUGGAAAAGAAGCUUGAUGAUGUACAGGAGUCUGGCAACACUGAAUUGGAAAAGAAGGUUGAUGAUGAACAGAAGGAAAGCUCAGAUGAGAUCGAAGUUUCUG